ACUAUUUAUAUAAUAUUCUCUAAAUAUGCUUAUUUCUGUUUUUGUUUUGAUCAUCAUUCUUGGAUAGAAUUCCUGCUUUACAUGUUUAACUUUUGUUUGGAGGGUUGUUUUUUUUUUUUAUAAUAGAAGAGACGUUUUGUAUUAUGUAUAUUCAAACUAUAAUGUUUUGCCUUGACCGCCUUUCACUGUUCAUUCAUUGUUACUUCAUCUUCUUUUUUUAAAGUUCUUAACUUACCUUAAAAAGUUUGAUAUGCACAUUUAAACAUCUGUGUCCAAACCUAUUUAGAGGUCUUGUGUUUGUGUAAACAAAAUACUACAGUGUUCUAAAAAAUAGAUUUGUUAUGGAGAUGCAGUGUUUAACUUACCUGCUGUCUUAGCUUAUAUCAGUAGUUCAUGCUUGUUCAUGCUUGCAUAUUUUUUUAUUCAUGUGUCAUGACCAUUUAGAGUAUUACUUAGAAAGUGCCAUGUGAGAUAAUUCUUGUGUUUGUGCAACGUGACACAUUUCACUACCUGUAUCUCUUGCUGGUUCUAAUUAUGCUCAGAUAAGAGGAACAGAUUUUGACUAUUAUUUUAAAGUUAAUUGUUGCAAUUUUAACAAGGAAUGUCUCAAGUCAGAAAAGAAUUUUGCCUCUUGAUUGACCUCUUUUAUUUCACCCAGGGCAGAUGCUUUGAUGUAAUGUUCGAACUAGUUUUGUUCAUGCAAUAAAAUGAUUGUUUUU
rnacentral:sRNA from 1 species